rnacentral:rRNA from 1 species
AUUGAACGCUGGCGGCAUGCCUUACACAUGCAAGUCGAACGGCAGCGGGGACUUCGGUCCGCCGGCGAGUGGCGAACGGGUGAGUAAAGUAUCGGAACGUACCUUUCAGUGGGGAGUAACUGUCCGAAAGGAACAGCUAAUACCGCAUAUUCUGUGAGCAGGAAAGCAGGGGAGUCGCAAGACCUUGCGCUGAUUGAGCGGCCGAUAUCAGAUUAGCUAGUUGGUGAGGUAAAGGCUCACCAAGGCGACGAUCUGUAGCGGGUCGUGAGAGGAUGAUCCGCCACACUGGAACUGAGACACGGUCCAGACUCCUACGGGAGGCAGCAGUGGGGAAGUUUUGGACAAUGGGGGCGAACCCUGAUCCAGCCAUGCCGCGUGAGCGAAGAAGGCCUCGGUUGUAAGACGUCUUCGGUCCGGACGGAAAGUACGCAUCAGCU